CAAAGGGGAAGGAAUCAGAGCAUUAGAAGGAGGAACUCUUGAAAAUAAAAACGAGAGGGUCGAGGAAUUAGAGAGGAGGAAAAGAGAAAGAGUAAAAGGAAGAUUUGUGAGGAUUGAUGAUCGUUGAACGGGAAUAAGGCUUCAUGCUAUAUUACUUAUCGGAAAUAAGGCAAAGAUAUCGUUGAUGUUUUGGUUGAUAUGAGUUUUAGAAACUCCACGUGUUAUCAGGGUUGGUGGCUGGCGCAUUAUAGCAACCUUCUAUUCCUCGUCAUUUUGCAUGUAGACCAAUGUAUAACACAUAGACUGGUGAGAGAGUCUCAAUACAGUUCAAAAUGUUUUGAAAUAUGAAACAGAUUAAUGUUGA